CAGCCGCCACGGGAAUACAGAGGGUGCAAGCGUUAAUCGGAAUUACUGGGCGUAAAGCGCGCGUAGGUGGUUUGUUAAGUUGGAUGUGAAAUCCCCGGGCUCAACCUGGGAACUGCAUCCAAAACUGGCAAGCUAGAGUAUGGUAGAGGGUGGUGGAAUUUCCUGUGUAGCGGUGAAAUGCGUAGAUAUAGGAAGGAACACCAGUGGCGAAGGCGACCACCUGGACUGAUACUGACACUGAGGUGCGAAAGCGUGGGGAGCAAACAGGAUUAGAUACCCCUGUAGUCCCUGUCCCUUAUAC
rnacentral:rRNA from 1 species